CGCGCUCUACGAUCCCUCGCUGCCGGAUAUAGUGGUGGAGGUCCCUACUGAGACCGCCGACCGCACGGCCCGUGGCCUGGCUCGUGACACGGGGUAUCUGGUGGGAUGGUCGGCCGGCGCUGCCGUGGCGGCGGCACUGGAGAUCGCGCGCGAGAACCCCGAUGCCUGCGUGGUCGCGAUUGGGUGCGACACCGGCAGCCGCUAUCUGAGCGAUCCGCACCGAUGGUCCGGCCCGUGACCCUGCGCCUGAGCGCCAGCCUGGUCGAUGAGAUUCGUCGCGAGGGUGAGCGGGCAUACCCCGCCGAAUGCUGCGGCGUGCUGG
rnacentral:misc_RNA from 1 species